rnacentral:rRNA from 1 species
GAUGAACGCUGGCGGCGUGCCUAACACAUGCAAGUCGAACGAAGCACCUUACCUGAUUCUUCGGAUGAAAGUUUGGUGACUGAGUGGCGGACGGGUGAGUAACGCGUGGGUAACCUGCCCUGUACAGGGGGAUAACAGCUGGAAACGGCUGCUAAUACCGCAUAAGCGCACGAGGAGACAUCUCCUUGUGUGAAAAACUCCGGUGGUACAGGAUGGGCCCGCGUCUGAUUAGCUGGUUGGCAGGGUAACGGCCUACCAAGGCAACGAUCAGUAGCCGGUCUAGAGGAUGAACGGCCACAUUGGAACUGAGACACGGUCCAAACUCCUACGGGAGGCAGCAGUGGGGAAUAUUGCACAAUGGGGGAAACCCUGAUGCAGCAACGCCGCGUGAGUGAAGAAGUAUUUCGGUAUGUAAAGCUCUAUCAGCAGGGAAGAUAAUGACGGUACCUGACUAAGAAGCUCCGGCUAAAUACGUG